rnacentral:rRNA from 1 species
AUUGAACGCUGGCGGCAUGCCUUACACAUGCAAGUCGAACGGUAACGCGGGGCAACCUGGCGACGAGUGGCGAACGGGUGAGUAAUAUAUCGGAACGUGCCCAGUAGUGGGGGAUAGCCCGGCGAAAGCCGGAUUAAUACCGCAUACGACCUACGGGUGAAAGGCGGGGGAUCGCAAGACCUCGCGCUAUUGGAGCGGCCGAUAUCAGAUUAGGUAGUUGGUGGGGUAAAGCCUACCAAGCCUACGAUCUGUAGCUGGUCUGAGAGGACGACCAGCCACACUGGGACUGAGACAC